rnacentral:rRNA from 1 species
UAGGGAAUCUUCCACAAUGGACGCAAGUCUGAUGGAGCAACGCCGCGUGUGUGAAGAAGGUCUUCGGAUCGUAAAACACUGUUGUUAGAGAAGAAUACAAGUGAGAGUAACUGUUCACUUGCUGACGGUAUCUAACCAGAAAGCCACGGCUAACUACGUGCCAGCAGCCGCGGUAAUACGUAGGUGGCAAGCGUUGUCCGGAUUUAUUGGGCGUAAAGGGAACGCAGGCGGUUUUUUAAGUCUGAUGUGAAAGCCUUCGGCUUAACCGGAGUAGUGCAUUGGAAACUGGAAGACUUGAGUGCAGAAGAGGAGAGUGGAACUCCAUGUGUAGCGGUGAAAUGCGUAGAUAUAUGGAAGAACACCAGUGGCGAAAGCGGCUCUCUGGUCUGUAACUGACGCU